CGCACAUUGCGCCCCCGGAUCGCUCCGGAGGCAUGCCUGUCCGAGCGUCAUCAGACCCCUCUCACGCGCUGCCGUGGUGUUGGGCUCGCCCUGCAAGACGGGCCCGCCUCAAAGUCAGUGGCCGCUGUGCGCAGCACCUAAGCCUAGUAAUCAUCGCGGCUUCGGGUCCUGGGCGGCAGCGAGCCAGCAACCCCCUCAACCGUCAACAGGUUGACCUCGGAUCAGGUAGGGAUACCCGCUGAACUUAA
rnacentral:misc_RNA from 1 species